rnacentral:rRNA from 1 species
GUGGGGAAUUUUGGACAAUGGGCGCAAGCCUGAUCCAGCCAUGCCGCGUGCAGGAUGAAGGCCUUCGGGUUGUAAACUGCUUUUGUACGGAACGAAAAGACUCUUUCUAAUAAAGAGGGUCCAUGACGGUACCGUAAGAAUAAGCACCGGCUAACUACGUGCCAGCAGCCGCGGUAAUACGUAGGGUGCGAGCGUUAAUCGGAAUUACUGGGCGUAAAGCGUGCGCAGGCGGUGAUGUAAGACAGAUGUGAAAUCCCCGGGCUCAACCUGGGAACUGCAUUUGUGACUGCAUCGCUGGAGUGUGGCAGAGGGGGAUGGAAUUCCGCGUGUAGCAGUGAAAUGCGUAGAUAUGCGGAGGAACACCGAUGGCGAAGGCAAUCCCCUGGGCCUGCACUGACGCUCAUGCACGAAAGCGUGGGGAGCAAACAGGAUUAGAUACCCGUGUAGUCC